rnacentral:rRNA from 1 species
AUUGAACGCUGGCGGCAGGCCUAACACAUGCAAGUCGAACGAGUGGCGGACGGGUGAGUAAUGUCUGGGAAACUGCCCGAUGGCGGGGGAUAACUACUGGAAACGGUAGCUAAUACCGCAUACCAUCGGGUGUGCCCAGAUGGGAUUAGCUAGUAGGUGGGGUAACGGCUCACCUAGGCGACGAUCCCUAGCUGGUCUGAGAGGAUGACCAGCCGCACGGGAACGGAGACACGGUCCAGACUCCUACGGUGGCCAGCAGUGUGGAAUAUUGCACAAGGGGCGCGAGCCUGCUUCAGCCAUUCCGCGUGUAUGAAGAAGGCAUUCGGGUUGUAAAGUACUUUCAGCGAGGAGGCGUUACUCGCAGAAGAAGCACCGGCUAACUCCGUGCCAGCAGCCGCGGUAAUUC